AUUGAACGCUGGCGGCAGGCUUAACACAUGCAAGUCGAGCGAGCGGCGGACGGGUGAGUAAUGUCUGGGAAACUGCCUGAUGGAGGGGGAUAACUACUGGCAACGGUUGCUAAUACCGCAUACCAUCAGAUGUGCCCAGAUGGGAGUAGCUAGUUGGUGGGGUACUGGCUCACCUAGGCGACGAUCCCUAGCUGGUCGGAGCGGAUGACCAGCCACACUGGAACGGAGACAGGGUCCAGACUCCUACGGGAGGCAGCAGUGGGGAAUAUUGCACAAUGGGCGCAAGCCGGAUGCAGCCAUGCCGCGUGUGGGAAGAAGGCCUUCGGGUUGUAAAGCACUUUCAGCGAGGAGGCGUUACUCGCAGAAGAAGCAGCGGCUAACUCCGUGCCAGCCGCCGCGGUAAUUC
rnacentral:rRNA from 1 species